rnacentral:rRNA from 1 species
ACAUGCAGAGAACUUUCCAGAGAUGGAUUGGUGCCUUCGGGAACGUCUGACACAGGUGCUGCAUGGCUGUCGUCAGCUCGUGUCGUGAGAUGUUGGGUUAAGUCCGUAACGAGCGCAACCCUUGUCCUUAGUUACCAGCACGUUAUGGUGGGCACUCUAAGGAGACUGCCGGUGACAAACCGGAGGAAGGUGGGGAGUGACGUCAAGUCAUCAUGGCCCUUACGGCCUGGGCUACACACGUGCUACAAUGGUCGGUACAAAGGGUUGCCAAGCCGCGAGGUGGAGCUAAUCCCAUAAAACCGAUCGUAGUCCGGAUCGCAGUCUGCAACUCGACUGCGUGAAGUCGGAAUCGCUAGUAAUCGUGAAUCAGAAUGUCACGGUGAAUACGUUCCCGGGCCUU